AAAAAGGCUCUGCACUUUUGAUCGUUAUCCCUAAUCUUAUAUUCUAAUCUACUUGAAAUAAAAGCUCUUUAUAUACAGAUGCAACCUGCAGCGCUCUGCAAAGCAGAAAACAGCAACCGGUCAUAGAAGAGCACCAAAGUUAGAGUGAGGGAUAAAGAGAGCAACGGGCGACGAUGGGUCAGAGUCCUCUUCUCCGGCUACCGGCGGUGGCCGAGCAGGUCCAGCCAGUGGAGGCGACGACCGGUGGAAGCAACAGGAAGGAACAGCUUGGCAAGUCUACAAAAUCUGCAAAUAAGUACUACAAGAACUCAAGCAAAGACGACCUUGUUUUAAGGGCGACGCUGGAGUCGAUCACUAGACUUGGAUAAAAGUGAAAAUCUGGUCCAAAAAACAAAAGAAAAGAACACGAAAUCAUGGUGAUCGCACUAAUAUCACCUUGUCUACUGAUAAUUUCUAAGAGGAUGGAGCUGCCCGUGUGUUAUCUAUUAGUUUAUCAAGAAAAAGGAAAAAUAUUGUGUCUCUAUUAUGGCCUUUUGUACUUAUAAUCUCAAGCUUUUGGCUUAUUAACAACUGGCGUGUUAAUUCAGGCAUUUUAGAGACUCAUCAGUACUUAUAAUGGAAUAUAAUGUGUACUACUACUUAAAUGUACUUUGCUACUCUUCGCCUAUUGUACUUAGAUAAAUAAUUCAUAUGAGUUUUAUUUUUGACAAAAA